UCCCAACUCAUCUGAGUUUUCAAACGAGUACUUCCACAAACUCAAUGCACAUGGUCUCUCUUCCUCUCUCUCCAACGUGGCAUAACCGUCUUUGACGAAAUAUUUCCAGCAUUGUAGCCAUUCUCACGCGCUCUUGAUCUCUUGGGAUGAAUUUCGGGUAAAUAGGAGCGGUUGGAUGUGAGAAAUCACAUCCACACCUUCCAUUUGUUCAGGUUUCGUUCUAUGUGAGAUUGUGGGUUCAUUUUUGCGGAUUUUGGAUAGAAUUUUGGGGGUUUCUUGGGAAAUAAGGGAAGAGAAGGUUUGAGAUUUGGGUUUCAUAUAUAAGAUAAGUUUUUCUUUAAGAAAAAGGGGAGAUAAUUUUAGGGGUUCAUUCUGAGGGAUUUCGUUUUUGAAAGGGAGUUCACUUGGAAAAUAGGGCUCGGAGAAAUCUUCUUUUUAUUUUUGAUUUUUGAAAAUCAUCUUAGUUCAAUUCCUGUUACAAUAGAAAAAAAUACAGAAAAAACUCUGAUUUUCGUUUUUGUUUAAUCUGAGCCUCUUUGUUCUCUGCAUUUGGAAGUUCAGAAACUUUCAUUUUUCACUAAUGAGUUUGGUUUAAAAUCGAAGGUUGAGUUCAUUUUCUUUCUGAAUUUCAUUUUUGAAUUAAGGGAAGUGAACUGAGGUCUAUUGAUUGUUCGUGAGGUUCAAGUUCGUCGAUUCUAUUUCUACUGUUUUCCUGCUGAUUGGCUGUUGAAUUUCGCUAGUAUUUGGAGGCAAAAGGUGUAUUGUUUAGGCUAUUAUUAUCAAAAGAAGUUUGCAACUUCAGGUUUGAUUUUCUUUCUCCCAUGUAACUCUAGUUUUUAGCUAUUCUUGAGCUAUGGAAUUUCCGCGUUUGUAUUCCAUUGUUGCUGUCAUUUGAGCUUUUUGUUGGAUUGAAUCAGUAAGUUCAAAUUUAGUUUCUUAUCGAUUUAUGACUAGCUGAGAUUUUUUGGUAAUGUCUGUUGAGUUAUGUCGAUUUUCUCUGAUGUACUAUAGCUGAAAACUUGGUUCGAGUCUGUUUGGUUCCAUUGUUUGGACUUAAAAUUGAAGUUCGAGGUUCAGUUAUGUGAAACAUUUUACCCAAGUUCAGAUUAUUUUUUUUUCUUCUGAGGAAACAAAAGGGAAGUCUUGUGGUUAUUCAUGAAAGUUCAAGGUUUCAACUGUUGGAAUAUAGUCCAUGCUCAUGUUAACAGUGUGCUUUAAUUCUGAUUUGUUGGUCUAUGUUCCUGGACUGCUCUCAUGUCAAAGGAAUGCAUGUAUACUCUUGAGUCGUAUCAUUUUCCUACUUCUGUUAUGAUACUAGAACAUGAAGGUUUGACUCGAUUCUUGUUUCUGGUUAACAUUUGAAAUUAGAAGGACGUUAUGCCCAGACAUUGCUAUUCCCUGAUGUUUACCUUAAUCCCUGUUUGUUGUGUACGAAUUGUGAUGGAGUUAUUGACUUAAUGAUUCAACUAGUCCUUGUAUGCUCCUUCUGCUGCACCUUGCUUCAGCCGUAAAGUUUAGGGGGUUAGUUAAUAGUUCAGUAGACUGCUGUACUGGAAAUGUAUAGUCGACCUAAAAUGGCUUUCACUGUUAGUGAGGGUGUUCUGUUUGAGGAUUCAAUACACAACUAGUCAAUGGUUGUGCUAAGGCUAACUUCAAAUUGAUUUUCUCAAACCUCUUAACAAUAAUCAGUUUUGCUGGAAGUCUUCUUUAUGCUGAUUAUAAAUUGUAGUUUUGUACAUGUUUAGUUUGAUUUAUAAACAACAAGAGGCUAAUUUGAGUAAGAUGAGCUAAAAUCAGUAGUAAUUUCUAGGAUUAUGUUAAAUUUUCAAAAAAGAUAUGUUGUGCUGAUUGAGCUUCCUGCAAUUUUGUUCACCCUUAACUUGCUCUCUUAGCUUGAAUAGUUUCAAUUUUGGUUACAUCCCAAACCAUAUUUCAGUUAAUCUCUGUAGCUAUUUUAUUUGUCAUGAUUUAUUGAUUUAUUGUUAAAUAAGUACAUGUGCUGAAUAGUCUUACCUAAUCGAUCCUAAGGUUCUUAAUUGCAGUGACAUGCAUCACUGUAUCAUAAAAAUGAGAAUUAGCCACAGCUACUUGACAUUGCCACAUUUCAAUGGUAUUGUAAUCCUUUAUCCCUAUACUACUUGAGCUAUCAACCCAAGAUUUAGGGAAUAUACUACUACCUACAGGUGCACUUUUUCUUGAGUGCGCCAUAAAAUUAAACUGACAUGUAUUGUCAUUUGAGAGGCUACGCUGCGAGCGAUUAUCAAUAGACAAAUCCCUCACUUGGCAGUUGCGGGAGUCUAAUUCAGAUGAGCAAUCUUGCCUUCCUACUGCACCACCUGGCCAAUUGCUUCUGAUGUCAGACUCAUCAUUUGCAUAUUGUUCUCGUCUAGCAAAUUUGUGAAAUAAGGGUAUCUUAGCUAAUUUAGUUUAGUUCAUAUAAAUCGAGGCGUGCCAUUUAGUUGAUUUUCCAUGGAUCUCGCAAAGUUAAAAGUGCAGAGUUACUUUAGGCGCGUUAUUUGAAUAAUUUGCCUUCCUAAACUCAAGUGCACAUUUAUGUGACCCAAAUCCAAAUCCUAACAACGUUAUAUAAAAUAUAUUGUGGAUUACGGGUGCAUUUAUAUGACGCAGUUCAAAACGUGUUUUAUGUGACGUUGAAAUUUUUCUUAAAAUUAGUAAAGCAGUUAAAGUUAAAAUGCAGAUAGGUUAAAACAUGUGCUAAAAUCAGAUAAUAGACCAUUUAUAACAGUUGAACGACCGUGCUAGAACCACGAAAUCCGGGAAUGCCUAACACUUUCUCUCGGGUUAACAGAAGUUCUUACUCGUAUUUCUGGUUCGCGGACUGUAAUACAGAGUCAAUCUUUUUGUCGAUUUGGGAUUUGAACCGGUGAAUUGAGACACCAUAAAUUAUCCCAAGUGACGACUCUGAAUCUUUAAAUAAAUAAAUUCCGUUUCAAUUGUCCUUUAAUUAGAAAAACUCAUUUAUGCCCUCUUACGCGGGGGUGUAGGUAAAAAAAGAGGUGUUACAGCUCUGGUGACUCUGCUGGGGAUCGAACCCAAAAUCUCUUGUUCAGGGUUCAGAAUUCGAGCUUGGAUGAAUUAUUAUAUUUGACUUUAUUUAUUAUCUCAUUUUAUUACAUGUGCUAAAUGUUGCUUUUUACUGCUUUGAUAUUAUCCAAACUGUAUAUAAAUUGUUGCGAAACCCUUCUCUUCUCAUCUUCGGGGAUGUGCUCGUUGGUCGUGACUCCCUAUUCUAUUAGUAUCAUACAUUGAAAUACAGAAGAGGCUCAGACAAGUUACUAAGCCGGGUGUCCUUUCGCUUCUCGGUACGUAGCCCCCUCCUUGGCUCGAGUUAUCUGCUCGGUACACAAGUCUAGAACAAAUGCCUUUGUUUUGAACCUAGAAUAACUCAGCCUCAUGCCGGAUCCCUAGUAGGAAUGUUUGUUUGCUUCAUGUGCAUUUGACUUUGGAGACUCAACACAAGGGUUGGGUCUAUGUAGGACAAGUGUACCCGAAAUGAAAAAACCAUCCUGAUGCAUCUUACUUACUACUUGUUCAUUCAUUUGUUUCAGAUUUGCAUGUUGAUCGACGUAUAGAGAAAAUUUUGAGAGAAGGAAAGUCAAUGUAAGGACUGAGGGAGAUAAUUAUCUAUUUUUGAAAAACCAAUGUCCAAAAUAUACUGCUCUGCUGAAAUUGUGAAAAAAAAAAAAGAAAAGAAAAGAAAGAAUUUUUUUUGUGUUUUUAGAAAAAAAAGAGUUAGUUUUUGUUUUGUCAAAUCUGCCCAAACUACACAAACUUGAUUCUCGUCUUUCGAGGCGUGAUAUGUAGGCAACCACAUAUGGCCGGUCUUCCUAGUAAAUAUUAGGUUCUUGCCUUUGCUGGGUCUUAGCCAAAUUUUGCACUUCUAUCCACCUUUUGGCCAAAUAAGCUAUUUUGCAAAAAUACCCUCAAUUAUGUCUUGCAUGUGUCUACUAGAGAAUAUUACUGUCUCACAUAGUGUUAAUCUAAGUUUUGUCAUUCAGGUAUGGAUCUACUUACUGGAGUUUGAGCAUGACAGAUAUCCCAGGGCCACUGCAUUCAGAAGUUGCUUAAUGAGAUUUUUAUUAUUUUUUUAUAUCAUCUUUUACUUUCUAGUUUUGUAUAGUAAUGUCGAGUUUUUUUAUUACUAUUGUAUUUUCUAUUUUGCAUCUAAAAACGUGUAUUAUAAAUAAAAGAUCCAAAUAAAAGAGAUGUUGCAUUUUAUAUUUC
rnacentral:lncRNA from 1 species